rnacentral:rRNA from 1 species
GGCGGGUCCGGUAAGUCUGAUGUGAAASCCCACGGCUCAACCGUGGAACGGCAUUGGAAACUGGCGGACUUGAAUGUAGCAGAGGAAAGUGGAAUUCCAUGUGUAGCGGUGGAAUGCGUAGAUAUAUGGAGGAACACCAGUGGCGAAAGCGACUUUCUGGGCUAUGAUUGACGCUGAGGCUCGAAAGCGUGGGGAGCGAACAGGAUUAGAUACCCUGGUAGUCCACGCCGUAAACGAUGAGUGCUAAGUGUUGGAGGGUUUCCGCCCUUCAGUGCUGGAGUUAACGCAUUAAGCACUCCGCCUGGGGAUUACGACCGCAAGGUUGAAACUCAAAAGAAUUGACGGGGACCCGCGCAAGCGGUGGAGCAUGUGGUUUAAUUCGAAGCAACGCGAAGAACCUUACCAGCUCUUGACAUCUUCUGCCACCUUCAGAGAUGAAGGGUUCCCUUCGGGGACAGAAUGACAGGUGGUGCAUGGUUGUCGUCAGCUCGUGUCGUGAGAUGUUGGGUUAAGUCCCGUAACGAGCGCAACCCUUAUUGUUAGUUGCCAGCAUUGAGUUGGGCACUCUAGCAAGACUGCCGGUGAUAAACCGGAGGAAGGCGGGGAUGACGUCAAAUCAUCAUGCCCCUUAUGAGCUGGGCUACACACGUGCUACAAUGGAUGGUACAACGAGUAGCGAGACCGCGAGGUUUAGCUAAUCUCCCAAAGCCAUUCUCAGUUCGGAUUGCAGGCUGCAACUCGCCUGCAUGAAGUCGGAAUCGCUAGCUAAUCGCGGAUG